UGCUCUUUUCUGGCGUGAUCAAACACAACAACAGUCCUUAUUCAUCACCAGUAAUCUUAGUUAAAGAGCAUGAUGGGUCGUGGUGCAUGUGUGUUGACUAUCGUGCUCUUAACAAGAUCAAAGGCAAGGACCAGUUUCCAAUUCCAGUUAUUGAUGAAUUAAUGGAUGAAUUAAAUGGAGCAAAAGUAUUCUCAAAGCUUGAUCUGCAAAGUGGGUAUCAUCAAAUUCGAGUGGUACCGAAGGACACAACAAAGACGGCUUUCCGAACGUAUCAUGGCCAUUAUGAGUUUUUGAUAAUGCCAUUUGGCCUUACCAAUGCUCCAUCCUCUUUCCAAGCUCUAAUGAAUGAGAUAGCCUGGAAAACAAUUAAUUGAAGAGAAUGCUGUGCUUAAAGAACGUGCAUGUCAUUUAUAUAUUAUGAUUGUGGACAGCCUGGAAAACAAUUAAUUGAAGAGAAUGUUGUGUUGUCAAAACAUGCCUAUCACUUAUGUAUAGUGAUCGCAUAUUUGAGAUAUGGCUAGUACAGUUUGGAAAUUGGUUGACCGAAGCAGGCAUUAAACUGGUAUAAACUAAUUCAGAUGAGUUUAAUCGGUUAACUAUUUUCCUCCUUUGGAACAAUAAUUUAGCUCAUGGAUUUUCUGAUUUAUGGGAGGAAAAUUCAAAUGUGCUUAUUAUUAUUAUUAUUCAUCUUUGUUGAUGCUCUCUCUCUCUCUCUCUCUCUCUCUCUCUCCAUUCUAUGGUGUUGUUGAACAGAUGGGCAUGGAAUAUGAAUAUCAAUUGAAGCUAUGGCUUUUACAUUAUUGCUUAA